rnacentral:rRNA from 1 species
GGGUCAGUAGGUUGGUCGUGCCACCGGUACGUACUGGUCUCACUGAUUCCUCCUUCCUGAAGAACCGUAAUGCCAUUAAUUUGGUGUUGCGGGGAAACAGGACUGUUACUUUGAAAAAAUUAGUGUGUUUAAAGCAAGCUAACGCUUGAAUACAUUAGCAUGGGAUAAUGAAAUAGGACGAUCGAUCCUAUUUUGUUGGUUUCUAGGAUUGACGUA